rnacentral:rRNA from 1 species
CUGGCGGCGUGCCUAAUACAUGCAAGUCGAACGGUCUUUCUAUGGAAGCUUGCUUCCACUGAGAAGAUAGUGGCGAACGGGUGAGUAACACGUGGGUAACCUGCCCAUAAGAGGGGGGAUAACAUCCGGAAACGGGUGCUAAUACCGCAUAGUUUUCUUGAUCGCAUGAUCGGGAAAGGAAAGACGGCCUUUGUGCUGUCGCUUAUGGAUGGACCCGCGGCGUAUUAGUUAGUUGGUGAGGUAAUGGCUCACCAAGACGAUGAUACGUAGCCGACCUGAGAGGGUGAUCGGCCACAUUGGGACUGAGACACGGCCCAAACUCCUACGGGAGGCAGCAGUAGGGAAUCUUCCGCAAUGGACGAAAGUCUGACGGAGCAACGCCGCGUGAGUGAAGAAAGGUUUUCGGAUCGUAAAACUCUGUUGUCAGAGAAGAACAAGUUGGAGAGUAACUGCUCCAGCCUUGACGGUAUCUGACCAGAAAGCCACGGCUAACUACGUGCCAGCAGCCGC